CCAUGUCUAAAUGGCUUCCUUUAUGUGGUUCUAACUGGGAUUCUUUCUCAGGAGGUCAAAUUAGAGCUCCUGCAGUUGGAGCUACAGCACUGGCAGUUGACAGCAUCAGCUCGGUUCUGCCUCUUGAGACAUGUAAGACAGCCACUUAGAGUUUGUUCCUACAGUCCUUUGACAAAUGGCCCUACUCUGACUGUGUACCUAAUAGACAGUUUUUGUUUUUCUUAUGGAUCUGUGCCAAAAACAGGGUUUUUCCUUAAGCACCUUACUUCUGCUUUGUUCUCUUUGCUUUGCCUUUUGUUUGCUAUGAUUCAGUUUGUCCAAAAGCAUUGGCUAAUUUUCUUGACAGGAUAUGAUCUAAGAUUCAUUCAUUCAUUGAUUACUUUCUAUGUAGCAAGAAAUGUUUUCUGACUCACUCAUGUUAGGCGGUGUCUUCAUAUUCUUGCUGAUGAGACAGCUGCCUCAGCUAUGGAGAGGAACAACUGUCCUGCCAACAUCUUCAAGUCUGUAUGUGCCCCACAGACUUGACCCAACAGUCACGCCAUGCAGUCCCUAACUUUUUCAGACCCACCUUCUCAGCGAUCCACUCUUCCCUUGAGCUUUGGAAAUAACUAAAGUUUGUUUUUGUGCAUGUGUGUGUUUGUGUGUGAGAAAGAGAUAUUUUAAGACAGCUCCUGAGUGGCAGAGGACUUCAAGAAAUGACCUUGGAUAACACUGUACAUAAACUGUAGAAGACAGAUGGUUGUUUUUGUGUGUUCUGUAUUCUUAAAGAUUCUAAUACAUAGAAAUUCCAUCAUCUCCCUGGGUAGCCUUUAAUUGCUACUCAUUAUUUAGAAUAUAAAAUAUAUUUAACCUAGAUUUGAGUUAUCAUAAAGAUGAUAAUCAUAAAGGAUGUUUAGCAUAGAUUUGAU
rnacentral:lncRNA from 1 species